CUACGGGUCGCUGCAGUGGGGAAUUUUGCGCAAUGGGGGGAACCCUGACGCAGCAAUACCGCGUGAGUGAAGAAGGCCUUUGGGUCGUAAAGCUCUUUUCUGAAGGAAGAUAGUGACGGUACUUCAGGAAUAAGCACCGGCUAACUCCGUGCCAGCAGCCGCGGUAAUACGGAGGGUGCGAGCGUUGUUCGGAUUUACUGGGCGUAAAGGGCACGUAGGCGGCCUGGCAAGUUAAGGGUGAAAUCCCGGGGCUUAACUCCGGAACUGCUCUUAAAACUGCCAAGCUAGAGAUAGUCAGAGGCGGGUGGAAUUCCUGGUGUAGAGGUGAAAUUCGUAGAUAUCAGGAGGAACACCGGUGGCGAAGGCGGCCCGCUGGGGCUAUUCUGACGCUAAGGUGCGAAAGCGUGGGGAGCGAACGGGAUUAGAUACCCGCGUAGUC
rnacentral:rRNA from 1 species